rnacentral:tRNA from 1 species
GGGGCUGUAGCUCAGUGGUAGAGUGCUUGCCUCACAUACAUGAGACCCUGGGUUUGAUCCCCAAUACCA